CCUACGGGCGGCAGCAGUGAGGAAUAUUGGUCAAUGGACGAGAGUCUGAACCAGCCAAGUAGCGUGAAGGAUGACUGCCCUAUGGGUUGUAAACUUCUUUUAUAAAGGAAUAAAACGAGGCACGUGUGCCUUUUUGCAUGUACUUUAUGAAUAAGGAUCGGCUAACUCCGUGCCAGCAGCCGCGGUAAUACGGAGGAUCCGAGCGUUAUCCGGAUUUAUUGGGUUUAAAGGGAGCGUAGAUGGGGUGUUAAGUCAGUUGUGAAAGUUUGCGGCUCAACCGUAGAAUUGCAAGUGAUACUGGCAGUCUAGAGUACAGUUGAGGUAGGCGGAAUUCGUGGUGUAGCGGUGAAAUGCUUAGAUAUCACGAAGAACCCCGAGUGCGAAGGCAGCUUACUAAGCUGUGACUGACAUUGAUGCUCGAAAGUGUGGGUAUCAAACAGGAUUAGAUACCCGGGUAGUC
rnacentral:rRNA from 1 species